rnacentral:lncRNA from 1 species
CCAAUAGUCAAUCAUAAGCCCAGCCCUUCCUGCAGAAAAAAGCUCAGUAGUUUGGACCCAACAGGCAUUGCCAGAGAUCCUGAACUGAUAAUCAGGACUUUUAGGCUGGUUGAAAAAAAUAACAACUUGUGGUUGGAACAUUAAGGAGGAGAAAAUGUUGUUUGUACAGUUUGAGUGAUGGAGUUGACAGAUGAAGACAAGGUUUGGAGGGGGAGUUGAACCAGCAACACAAGGAUGACAGCGUAUAGUCCGCCACUCUACGAACUGAGCUAUCGAAGGGUGCUGGGGUGACAAAGGCAGAAAACAUAGUGGCUGAGACAACACACUAUUCCAAAAGGACUAUUCAACCCAAUAGUCAAUCAUAAGCCCAGCCCUUCCUGCAGAAAAAAGCUCAGUAGUUUGGACCCAACAGGCAUUGCCAGAGAUCCUGAACUGAUAAUCAGGACUUUAAGGCUGGUUGAAAAAAAUUACAACUUGUGGUUGGAACAUAAAGGAGGAGAAAAUGUUGUUUGUACAUUUUGAGUGAUGGAGUUGACAGAUGAAGACAAGGUUUGGAGCGGGAGUUGAAGCAGCAACCCAAGGAUCACAGCCUAAAGUCCUCCGCUCUACCAACUGAGCUAUCGAAGGGUGAUGGGGGAACAAAGGCAGAAAACAUAGUGGCUGAGACAGCACACUAUUCCAAAAGGACUAUUCAUCCCAAUAGUCAAUCAUAAGCCCAGCCCUUCCUGCAGAAAAAAGCUCAGUAGUUUGGACCCAACAGGCAUUGCCAGAGAUCCUGAACUGAUAAUCAGGACUUUUAGGCUGGUUGAAAAAAAUAACAACUUGUGGUUGGAACAUAAAGGAGGAGAAAAUGUUGUUUGUACAUUUUGAGUGAUGGAGUUGACAGAUGAAGACAAGGUUUGGAGCGGGAGUUGAACCAGCAACCCAAGGAUCACAGACUAAAGUCCUCCGCUCUACCAACUGAGCUAUGGAAGGGUGCUGGGGUAACAAAGGCAGAAAACAUAGUGGCUGAGACAACACACUAUUCCAAAAGGACUAUUCAUCCCAAUAGUCAAUCAUAAGCCCAGCCCUUCCUGCAGAAAAAAGCUCAGUAGUUUGGACCCAACAGGCAUUGCCAGAGAUCCUGAACUGAUAAUCAGGACUUUUAGGCUGGUUGAAAAAAAUAACAACUUGUGGUUGGAACAUAAAGGAGGAGAAAAUGUUGUUUGUACAUUUUGAGUGAUGGAGUUGACAGAUGAAGACAAGGUUUGGAGGGGGAGUUGAACCAGCAACCCAAGGAUCACAGCCUAAAGUCCUGCGCUCUACCAACUGAGCUAUGGAAGGGUGCUGGCGUAACAAAGGCAGAAAACAUAGUGGCUGAGACAACACACUAUUCCAAAAGGACUAUUCAUCCCAAUAGUCAAUCAUAAGCCCAGCCCUUCCUGCAGAAAAAAGCUCAGUAGUUUGGACCCAACAGGCAUUGCCAGAGAUCCUGAACUGAUAAUCAGGACUUUUAGGCUGGUUGAAAAAAAUAACAACUUGUGGUUGGAACAUAAAGGAGGAGAAAAUGUUGUUUGUACAUUUUGAGUUGACAGAUGAAGACAAGGUUUGGAGCGGGAGUUGAACCAGCAUCCCAAGGAUCACAGCCUACAGUCCUAUGCUCUACCAACUGAGCUAUCGAAGGGUGCUGGGGGAACAAAGGCAGAAAACAUAGUGGCUGAGACAACACACUAUGCCAAAAGGACUAUUCAUCCCAAUAGUCAAUCAUAAGCCCAGCCCUUCCUGCAGAAAAAAGCUCAGUAGUUUGGACCCAACAGGCAUUGCCAGAGAUCCUGAACUGAUAAUCAGGACUUUUAGGCUGGUUGAAAAAAAUAACAACUUGUGGUUGGAACAUAAAGGAGGAGAAAAUGUUGUUUGUACAGUUUGAGUGAUGGAGUUGACAGAUAAAGACAAGGUUUGGAGCAGGAGUUGAACCAGCAACCCAAGGAUCACAGCCUAAAGUCCUCCGCUCUACCAACUGAGCUAUGGAAGGGUGCUGGGGUAACAAAGGCAGAAAACAUAGUGGCUGAGACAACACACUAUUCCAAAAGGAACUAUUCAUCCCAAUUGUCAAUCAUGAGCCCAGCCCUUCCUGCAGAAAAAAGCUCAGUAGUUUGGACCCAACAGGCAUUGCCAGAGAUCCUGAACUGAUAAUCAGGACUUUUAGGCUGGUUGAAAAAAAUAACAACUUGUGGUUGGAACAUAAAGGAGGAGAAAAUGUUGUUUGUACAUUUUGAGUGAUGGAGUUGACAGAUGAAGACAAGGUUUGGAGCGGGAGUUGAACCAGCAACCAAAGGAUCACAGCCUAAAGUCCUGCGCUCUACCAACUGAGCUAUCGAAGGGUGCUGGGGGAACAAAUGCAGAAAACAUAGUGGCUGAGACAACACACUAUUCCAAAAGGACUAUUCAUCCCAAUAGUCAAUCAUAAGCCCAGCCCUUCCUGCAGAAAAAAGCUCAGUAGUUUGGACCCAACAGGCAUUGCCAGAGAUCCUGAACUGAUAAUCAGGACUUUUAGGCUGGUUGAAAAAAAUAACAACUUGUGGUUGGAACAUAAAGGAGGAGAAAAUGUUGUUUGUACAUUUUGAGUUGACAGAUGAAGACAAGGUUUGGAGCGGGAGUUGAACCAGCAACCCAAGGAUCACAGCCUACAGUCCUACGCUCUACCAACUGAGCUAUCGAAGGGUGCUGGGGGAACAAAGGCAGAAAACAUAGUGGCUGAGACGACACACUAUUCCAAAAGGACUAUUCAUCCCAAUAGUCAAUCAUAAGCCCAGCCCUUCCUGCAGAAAAAAGCUCAGUAGUUUGGACCCAACAGGCAUUGCCAGAGAUCCUGAACUGAUAAUCAGGACUUUUAGGCUGGUUGAAAAAAAUAACAACUUGUGGUUGGAACAUAAAGGAGGAGAAAAUGUUGUUUGUAUAGGUUGAGUGAUGGAGUUGACAGAUGAAGACAAGGUUUGGAGCGGGAGUUGAACCAGCAACCCAAGGAUCACAGCCUAAAGUCCUCCGCUCUACCAACUGAGCUAUGGAAGGGUGCUGGGGUAAGGCAGCAAACAUAGUGGCUGAGACAACACACUAUUCCAAAAGGACUAUUCAUCCCAAUAGUCAAUCAUAAGCCCAGCCCUUCCUGCAGAAAAAAGCUCAGUAGUUUGGACCCAACAGGCAUUGCCAGAGAUCCUGAACUGAUAAUCAGGACUUUUAGGCUGGUUGAAAAAAAUAACAACUUGUGGUUGGAACAUAAAGGAGGAGAAAAUGUUGUUUGUAGAGUUUGAGUGAUGGAGUUGACAGAUGAAGACAAGGUUUGGAGCGGGAGUUGAACCAGCAACCCAAGGAUCACAGCCUACAGUCCUGCGCUCUACCAACUGAGCUAUCGAAGGGUGCUGGGGGAACAAAGGCAGAAAACAUAGUGGCUGAGACAACACACUAUUCCAAAAGGACUAUUCAUCCCAAUAGUCAAUCAUAAGCCCAGCCCUUCCUGCAGAAAAAAGCUCAGUAGUUUGGACCCAACAGGCAUUGCCAGAGAUCCUGAACUGAUAAUCAGGACUUUUAGGCUGGUUGAAAAAAAUAACAACUUGUGGUUGGAACAUAAAGGAGGAGAAAAUGUUGUUUGUACAGUUUGAGUGAUGGAGUUGACAGAUGAAGACAAGGUUUGGAGCGGGAGUUGAACCAGCAACCCAAGGAUCACAGCCUAAAGUCCUCCGCUCUACCAACUGAGCUAUGGAAGGGUGCUGGGGUAACAAAGGCAGAAAACAUAGUGGCUGAGACAACACACUAUUCCAAAAGGACUAUUCAUCCCAAUAGUCAAUCAUAAGCCCAGCCCUUCCUGCAGAAAAAAGCUCAGUAGUUUGGACCCAACAGGCAUUGCCAGAGAUCCUGAACUGAUAAUCAGGACUUUUAGGCUGGUUGAAAAAAAUAACAACUUGUGGUUGGAACAUAAAGGAGGAGAAAAUGUUGUUUGUACAUUUUGAGUGAUGGAGUUGACAGAUGAAGACAAGGUUUGGAGCGGGAGUUGAACCAGCAACCCAAGGAUCACAGCCUACAGUCCUCCGCUCUACCAACUGAGCUAUCGAAGGGUGCUGGGGGAACAAAGGCAGAAAACAUAGUGGCUGAGACAACACACUAUUCCAAAAGGACUAUUCAUCCCAAUAGUCAAUCAUAAGCCCAGCCCUUCCUGCAGAAAAAAGCUCAGUAGUUUGGACCCAACAGGCAUUGCCAGAGAUCCUGAACUGAUAAUCAGGACUUUUAGGCUGGUUGAAAAAAAUAACAACUUGUGGUUGGAACAUAAAGGAGGAGAAAAUGUUGUUUGUACAGUUUGAGUGAUGGAGUUGACAGAUGAAGACAAGGUUUGGAGCGGGAGUUGAACCAGCAACCCAAGGAUCACAGCCUAAAGUCCUGCGCUCUACCAACUGAGCUAUCGAAGGGUGCUGGGGUGACAAAGGCAGAAAACAUAGUGGCUGAGACAACACACUAUUCCAAAAGGACUAUUCAUCCCAAUAGUCAAUCAUAAGCCCAGCCCUUCCUGCAGAAAAAAGCUCAGUAGUUUGGACCCAACAGGCAUUGCCAGAGAUCCUGAACUGAUAAUCAGGACUUUUAGGCUGGUUGAAAAAAAUAACAACUUGUGGUUGGAACAUAAAGGAGGAGAAAAUGUUGUUUGUACAGUUUGAGUGAUGGAGUUGACAGAUGAAGACAAGGUUUGGAGCGGGAGUUGAACCAGCAACACAAGGAUCACAGCCUAAAGUCGUGCGCUCUACCAACUGAGCUAUGGCAGGGUGCUGGUGGAACAAUGGCAGAAAACAUAGUGGCUGAGACAACACACUAUUCCAAAAGGACUAUUCAUCCCAAUAGUCAAUCAUAAGCCCAGCCCUUCCUGCAGAAAAAAGCUCAGUAGUUUGGACCCAACAGGCAUUGCCAGAGAUCCUGAACUGAUAAUCAGGACUUUUAGGCUGGUUGAAAAAAAUAACAACUUGUGGUUGGAACAUAAAGGAGGAGAAAAUGUUGUUUGUACAUUUUGAGUUGACAGAUGAAGACAAGGUUUGGAGCGGGAGUUGAACCAGCAACCCAAGGAUCACAGCCUACAGUCCUACGCUCUACCAACUGAGCUAUCGAAGGGUGCUGGGGGAACAAAGGCAGAAAACAUAGUGGCUGAGACAACACACUAUUCCAAAAGGACUAUUCAUCCCAAUAGUCAAUCAUAAGCCCAGCCCUUCCUGCAGAAAAAAGCUCAGUAGUUUGGACCCAACAGGCAUUGCCAGAGAUCCUGAACUGAUAAUCAGGACUUUUAGGCUGGUUGAAAAAAAUAACAACUUGUGGUUGGAACAUAAAGGAGGAGAAAAUGUUGUUUGUACAUUUUGAGUGAUGGAGUUGACAGAUGAAGACAAGGUUUGGAGCGGGAGUUGAACCAGCAACCCAAGGAUCACAGCCUAAAGUCCUGCGCUCUACCAACUGAGCUAUCGAAGGGUGCUGGGGUGAACAAAGGCAGAAAACAUAGUGGCUGAGACAACACACUAUUCCAAAAGGACUAUUCAUCCCAAUAGUCAAUCAUAAGCCCAGCCCUUCCUGCAGAAAAAAGCUCAGUAGUUUGGACCCAACAGGCAUUGCCAGAGAUCCUGAACUGAUAAUCAGGACUUUUAGGCUGGUUGAAAAAAAUAACAACUUGUGGUUGGAACAUAAAGGAGGAGAAAAUGUUGUUUGUACAUUUUGAGUGAUGGAGUUGACAGAUGAAGACAAGGUUUGGAGCGGGAGUUGAACCAGCAACCCAAGGAUCACAGCCUACAGUCCUACGCUCUACCAACUGAGCUAUCGAAGGGUGCUGGGGGAACAAAGGCAGAAAACAUAGUGGCUGAGACAACACACUAUUCCAAAAGGACUAUUCAUCCCAAUAGUCAAUCAUAAGCCCAGCCCUUCCUGCAGAAAAAAGCUCAGUAGUUUGGACCCAACAGGCAUUGCCAGAGAUCCUGAACUGAUAAUCAGGACUUUUAGGCUGGUUGAAAAAAAUAACAACUUGUGGUUGGAACAUAAAGGAGGAGAAAAUGUUGUUUGUACAGUUUGAGUGAUGGAGUUGACAGAUGAAGACAAGGUUUGGAGGGGGAGUUGAACCAGCAACACAAGGAUCACAGCGUAAAGUCCCGCUCUACCAACUGAGCUAUCGAAGGGUGCUGGGGAACAAAGGCAGAAAACAUAGUGGCUGAGACAACACACUAUUCCAAAAGGACUAUUCAACCCAAUAGUCAAUCAUAAGUCCAGCCCUUCCUGCAGAAAAAAGCUCAGUAGUUUGGACCCAACAGGCAUUGCCAGAGAUCCUGAACUGAUAAUCAGGACUUUUAGGCUGGUUGAAAAAAAUAACAACUUGUGGUUGGAACAUAAAGGAGGAGAAAAUGUUGUUUGUACAUUUUGAGUGAUGGAGUUGACAGAUGAAGACAAGGUUUGGAGCGGGAGUUGAAGCAGCAACCCAAGGAUCACAGCCUAAAGUCCUGCGCUCUACCAACUGAGCUAUCAAAGGGUGCUGGGGGAACAAAGGCAGAAAACAUAGUGGCUGAGACAACACACUAUUCCAAAAGGACUAUUCAUCCCAAUAGUCAAUCAUAAGCCCAGCCCUUCCUGCAGAAAAAAGCUCAGUAGUUUGGACCCAACAGGCAUUGCCAGAGAUCCUGAACUGAUAAUCAGGACUUUUAGGCUGGUUGAAAAAAAUAACAACUUGUGGUUGGAACAUAAAGGAGGAGAAAAUGUUGUUUGUACAGUUUGAGUGAUGGAGUUGACAGAUGAAGACAAGGUUUGGAGCGGGAGUUGAACCAGCAACCCAAGGAUCACAGCCUAAAGUCCUCCGCUCUACCAACUGAGCUAUGGAAGGGUGCUGGGGUAACAAAGGCAGAAAACAUAGUGGCUGAGACAACACACUAUUCCAAAAGGACUAUUCAUCCCAAUAGUCAAUCAUAAGCCCAGCCCUUCCUGCAGAAAAAAGCUCAGUAGUUUGGACCCAACAGGCAUUGCCAGAGAUCCUGAACUGAUAAUCAGGACUUUUAGGCUGGUUGAAAAAAAUAACAACUUGUGGUUGGAACAUAAAGGAGGAGAAAAUGUUGUUUGUACAUUUUGAGUGAUGGAGUUGACAGAUGAAGACAAGGUUUGGAGCGGGAGUUGAACCAGCAACCCAAGGAUCACAGCCUAAAGUCCUCCGCUCUACCAACUGAGCUAUCGAAGGGUGCUGGGGGAACAAAGGCAGAAAACAUAGUGGCUGAGACAACACACUAUUCCAAAAGGACUAUUCAUCCCAAUAGUCAAUCAUAAGCCCAGCCCUUCCUGCAGAAAAAAGCUCAGUAGUUUGGACCCAACAGGCAUUGCCAGAGAUCCUGAACUGAUAAUCAGGACUUUUAGGCUGGUUGAAAAAAAUAACAACUUGUGGUUGGAACAUAAAGGAGGAGAAAAUGUUGUUUGUACAGUUUGAGUGAUGGAGUUGACAGAUGAAGACAAGGUUUGGAGCGGGAGUUGAACCAGCAACCCAAGGAUCACAGCCUAAAGUCCUCCGCUCUACCAACUGAGCUAUCGAAGGGUGCUGGGGGAACAAAGGCAGAAAACAUAGUGGCUGAGACAACACACUAUUCCAAAAGGACUAUUCAUCCCAAUAGUCAAUCAUAAGCCCAGCCCUUCCUGCAGAAAAAAGCUCAGUAGUUUGGACCCAACAGGCAUUGCCAGAGAUCCUGAACUGAUAAUCAGGACUUUUAGGCUGGUUGAAAAAAAUAACAACUUGUGGUUGGAACAUAAAGGAGGAGAAAAUGUUGUUUGUACAUUUUGAGUGAUGGAGUUGACAGAUGAAGACAAGGUUUGGAGCGGGAGUUGAACCAGCAACCCAAGGAUCACAGCCUAAAGUCCUGCGCUCUACCAACUGAGCUAUCGAAGGGUGCUGGGGGAACAAAGGCAGAAAACAUAGUGGCUGAGACAACACACUAUUCCAAAAGGACUAUUCAUCCCAAUAGUCAAUCAUAAGCCCAGCCCUUCCUGCAGAAAAAAGCUCAGUAGUUUGGACCCAACAGGCAUUGCCAGAGAUCCUGAACUGAUAAUCAGGACUUUUAGGCUGGUUGAAAAAAAUAACAACUUGUGGUUGGAACAUAAAGGAGGAGAAAAUUUUGUUUGUACAGUUUGAGUGAUGGAGUUGACAGAUGAAGACAAGGUUUGGAGCGGGAGUUGAACCAGCAACCCAAGGAUCACAGCCUAAAGUCCUGCGCUCUACCAACUGAGCUAUCGAAGGGUGCUGGGGUGAACAAAGGCAGAAAACAUAGUGGCUGAGACAACACACUAUUCCAAAAGGACUAUUCAUCCCAAUAGUCAAUCAUAAGCCCAGCCCUUCCUGUAGAAAAAAGCUCAGUAGUUUGGACCCAACAGGCAUUGCCAGAGAUCCUGAACUGAUAAUCAGGACUUUUAGGCUGGUUGAAAAAAAUAACAACUUGUGGUUGGAACAUAAAGGAGGAGAAAAUGUUGUUUGUACAUUUUGAGUGAUGGAGUUGACAGAUGAAGACAAGGUUUGGAGCGGGAGUUGAACCAGCAACCCAAGGAUCACAGCCUACAGUCCUCGCUCUACCAACUGAGCUAUCGAAGGGUGCUGGGGGAACAAAGGCAGAAAACAUAGUGGCUGAGACAACACACUAUUCCAAAAGGACUAUUCAUCCCAAUAGUCAAUCAUAAGCCCAGCCCUUCCUGCAGAAAAAAGCUCAGUAGUUUGGACCCAACAGGCAUUGCCAGAGAUCCUGAACUGAUAAUCAGGACUUUUAGGCUGGUUGAAAAAAAUAACAACUUGUGGUUGGAACAUAAAGGAGGAGAAAAUGUUGUUUGUACAUUUUGAGUUGACAGAUGAAGACAAGGUUUGGAGCGGGAGUUGAACCAGCAACCCAAGGAUCACAGCCUAAAGUCCUCGCUCUACCAACUGAGCUAUCGAAGGGUGCUGGGGGAACAAAGGCAGAAAACAUAGUGGCUGAGACAACACACUAUUCCAAAAGGACUAUUCAUCCCAAUAGUCAAUCAUAAGCCCAGCCCUUCCUGCAGAAAAAAGCUCAGUAGUUUGGACCCAACAGGCAUUGCCAGAGAUCCUGAACUGAUAAUCAGGACUUUUAGGCUGGUUGAAAAAAAUAACAACUUGUGGUUGGAACAUAAAGGAGGAGAAAAUGUUGUUUGUACAUUUUGAGUGAUGGAGUUGACAGAUGAAGACAAGGUUUGGAGCGGGAGUUGAACCAGCAACCCAAGGAUCACAGCCUACAGUCCUACGGUCUACCAACUGAGCUAUCGAAGGGUGCUGGGGGAACAAAGGCAGAAAACAUAGUGGCUGAGACAACACACUAUUCCAAAAGGACUAUUCAUCCCAAUAGUCAAUCAUACGCCCAGCCCUUCCUGCAGAAAAAAGCUCAGUAGUUUGGACCCAACAGGCAUUGCCAGAGAUCCUGAACUGAUAAUCAGGACUUUUAGGCUGGUUGAAAAAAAUAACAACUUGUGGUUGGAACAUAAAGGAGGAGAAAAUGUUGUUUGUACAGUUUGAGUGAUGGAGUUGACAGAUGAAGACAAGGUUUGGAGCGGGAGUUGAACCAGCAACCCAAAGAUCACAGCGUAUAGUCCGCCACUCUACCAACUGAGCUAUCGAAGGGUGCUGGGGUGACAAAGGCAGAAAACAUAGUGGCUGAGACAACACACUAUUCCAAAAGGACUAUUCAUCCCAAUAGUCAAUCAUAAGCCCAGCCCUUCCUGCAGAAAAAAAGCUCAGUAGUUUGGACCCAACAGGCAUUGCCAGAGAUCCUGAACUGAUAAUCAGGACUUUUAGGCUGGUUGAAAAAAAUAACAACUUGUGGUUGGAACAUAAAGGAGGAGAAAAUGUUGUUUGUACAUUUUGAGUGAUGGAGUUGACAGAUGAAGACAAGGUUUGGAGCGGGAGUUGAACCAGCAACCCAAGGAUCACAGCCUAAAGUCCUGCGCUCUACCAACUGAGCUAUCGAAGGGUGCUGGGGGAACAAAGGCAGAAAACAUAGUGGCUGAGACAACACACUAUUCCAAAAGGACUAUUCAUCCCAAUAGUCAAUCAUAAGCCCAGCCCUUCCUGCAGAAAAAAGCUCAGUAGUUUGGACCCAACAGGCAUUGCCAGAGAUCCUGAACUGAUAAUCAGGACUUUUAGGCUGGUUGAAAAAAAUAACAACUUGUGGUUGGAACAUAAAGGAGGAGAAAAUGUUGUUUGUACAGUUUGAGUGAUGGAGUUGACAGAUGAAGACAAGGUUUGGAGCGGGAGUUGAACCAGCAACCCAAGGAUCACAGCCUAAAGUCCUCCGCUCUACCAACUGAGCUAUGGAAGGGUGCUGGGGUAACAAAGGCAGAAAACAUAGUGGCUGAGACAACACACUAUUCCAAAAGGACUAUUCAUCCCAAUAGUCAAUCAUAAGCCCAGCCCUUCCUGCAGAAAAAAGCUCAGUAGUUUGGACCCAACAGGCAUUGCCAGAGAUCCUGAACUGAUAAUCAGGACUUUUAGGCUGGUUGAAAAAAAUAACAACUUGUGGUUGGAACAUAAAGGAGGAGAAAAUGUUGUUUGUACAUUUUGAGUGAUGGAGUUGACAGAUGAAGACAAGGUUUGGAGCGGGAGUUGAACCAGCAACCCAAGGAUCACAGCCUAAAGUCCUGCGCUCUACCAACUGAGCUAUCGAAGGGUGCUGGGGGAACAAAGGCAGAAAACAUAGUGGCUGAGACAACACACUAUUCCAAAAGGACUAUUCAUCCCAAUAGUCAAUCAUAAGCCCAGCCCUUCCUGCAGAAAAAAGCUCAGUAGUUUGGACCCAACAGGCAUUGCCAGAGAUCCUGAACUGAUAAUCAGGACUUUUAGGCUGGUUGAAAAAAAUAACAACUUGUGGUUGGAACAUAAAGGAGGAGAAAAUGUUGUUUGUACAGUUUGAGUGAUGGAGUUGACAGAUGAAGACAAGGUUUGGAGCGGGAGUUGAACCAGCAACCCAAGGAUCACAGCCUAAAGUCCUCCGCUCUACCAACUGAGCUAUCGAAGGGUGCUGGGGGAACAAAGGCAGAAAACAUAGUGGCUGAGACAACACACUAUUCCAAAAGGACUAUUCAUCCCAAUAGUCAAUCAUAAGCCCAGCCCUUCCUGCAGAAAAAAGCUCAGUAGUUUGGACCCAACAGGCAUUGCCAGAGAUCCUGAACUGAUAAUCAGGACUUUUAGGCUGGUUGAAAAAAAUAACAACUUGUGGUUGGAACAUAAAGGAGGAGAAAAUGUUGUUUGUACAGUUUGAGUGAUGGAGUUGACAGAUGAAGACAAGGUUUGGAGCGGGAGUUGAACCAGCAACCCAAGGAUCACAGCCUAAAGUCCUGCGCUCUACCAACUGAGCUAUCGAAGGGUGCUGGGGGAACAAAGGCAGAAAACAUAGUGGCUGAGACAACACACUAUUCCAAAAGGACUAUUCAUCCCAAUAGUCAAUCAUAAGCCCAGCCCUUCCUGCAGAAAAAAGCUCAGUAGUUUGGACCCAACAGGCAUUGCCAGAGAUCCUGAACUGAUAAUCAGGACUUUUAGGCUGGUUGAAAAAAAUAACAACUUGUGGUUGGAACAUAAAGGAGGAGAAAAUGUUGUUUGUACAUUUUGAGUGAUGGAGUUGACAGAUGAAGACAAGGUUUGGAGCGGGAGUUGAACCAGCAACCCAAGGAUCACAGCCUAAAGUCCUGCGCUCUACCAACUGAGCUAUCGAAGGGUGCUGGGGGAACAAAGGCAGAAAACAUAGUGGCUGAGACAACACACUAUUCCAAAAGGACUAUUCAUCCCAAUAGUCAAUCAUAAGCCCAGCCCUUCCUGCAGAAAAAAGCUCAGUAGUUUGGACCCAACAGGCAUUGCCAGAGAUCCUGAACUGAUAAUCAGGACUUUUAGGCUGGUUGAAAAAAAUAACAACUUGUGGUUGGAACAUAAAGGAGGAGAAAAUGUUGUUUGUACAGUUUGAGUGAUGGAGUUGACAGAUGAAGACAAGGUUUGGAGCGGGAGUUGAACCAGCAACCCAAGGAUCACAGCCUAAAGUCCUGCGCUCUACCAACUGAGCUAUCGAAGGGUGCUGGGGUGACAAAGGCAGAAAACAUAGUGGCUGAGACAACACACUAUUCCAAAAGGACUAUUCAUCCCAAUAGUCAAUCAUAAGCCCAGCCCUUCCUGCAGAAAAAAGCUCAGUAGUUUGGACCCAACAGGCAUUGCCAGAGAUCCUGAACUGAUAAUCAGGACUUUUAGGCUGGUUGAAAAAAAUAACAACUUGUGGUUGGAACAUAAAGGAGGAGAAAAUGUUGUUUGUACAUUUUGAGUGAUGGAGUUGACAGAUGAAGACAAGGUUUGGAGCGGGAGUUGAACCAGCAACCCAAGGAUCACAGCCUAAAGUCCUCCGCUCUACCAACUGAGCUAUCGAAGGGUGCUGGGUGAACAAAGGCAGAAAACAUAGUGGCUGAGACAACACACUAUUCCAAAAGGACUAUUCAUCCCAAUAGUCAAUCAUAAGCCCAGCCCUUCCUGCAGAAAAAAGCUCAGUAGUUUGGACCCAACAGGCAUUGCCAGAGAUCCUGAACUGAUAAUCAGGACUUUUAGGCUGGUUGAAAAAAAUAACAACUUGUGGUUGGAACAUAAAGGAGGAGAAAAUGUUGUUUGUACAGUUUGAGUGAUGGAGUUGACAGAUGAAGACAAGGUUUGGAGCGGGAGUUGAACCAGCAACCCAAGGAUCACAGCCUAAAGUCCUCCGCUCUACCAACUGAGCUAUGGAAGGGUGCUGGGGUAACAAAGGCAGAAAACAUAGUGGCUGAGACAACACACUAUUCCAAAAGGACUAUUCAUCCCAAUAGUCAAUCAUAAGCCCAGCCCUUCCUGCAGAAAAAAGCUCAGUAGUUUGGACCCAACAGGCAUUGCCAGAGAUCCUGAACUGAUAAUCAGGACUUUUAGGCUGGUUGAAAAAAAUAACAACUUGUGGUUGGAACAUAAAGGAGGAGAAAAUGUUGUUUGUACAGUUUGAGUUGACAGAUGAAGACAAGGUUUGGAGCGGGAGUUGAACCAGCAACCCAAGGAUCACAGCCUAAAGUCCUGCGCUCUACCAACUGAGCUAUCGAAGGGUGCUGGGGGAACAAAGGCAGAAAACAUAGUGGCUGAGACAACACACUAUUCCAAAAGGACUAUUCAUCCCAAUAGUCAAUCAUAAGCCCAGCCCUUCCUGCAGAAAAAAGCUCAGUAGUUUGGACCCAACAGGCAUUGCCAGAGAUCCUGAACUGAUAAUCAGGACUUUUAGGCUGGUUGAAAAAAAUAACAACUUGUGGUUGGAACAUAAAGGAGGAGAAAAUGUUGUUUGUACAGUUUGAGUGAUGGAGUUGACAGAUGAAGACAAGGUUUGGAGCGGGAGUUGAACCAGCAACCCAAGGAUCACAACCUAAAGUCCUGCGCUGUACCAACUGAGCUAUCGAAGGGUGCUGGGGGAACAAAGGCAGAAAACAUAGUGGCUGAGACAACACACUAUUCCAAAAGGACUAUUCAUCCCAAUAGUCAAUCAUAAGCCCAGCCCUUCCUGCAGAAAAAAGCUCAGUAGUUUGGACCCAACAGGCAUUGCCAGAGAUCCUGAACUGAUAAUCAGGACUUUUAGGCUGGUUGAAAAAAAUAACAACUUGUGGUUGGAACAUAAAGGAGGAGAAAAUGUUGUUUGUACAGUUUGAGUGAUGGAGUUGACAGAUGAAGACAAGGUUUGGAGCGGGAGUUGAACCAGCAACCCAAGGAUCACAGCCUAAAGUCCUCCGCUCUACCAACUGAGCUAUGGAAGGGUGCAGGGGUAACAAAGGCAGAAAACAUAGUGGCUGAGACAACACACUAUUCCAAAAGGACUAUUCAUCCCAAUAGUCAAUCAUAAGCCCAGCCCUUCCUGCAGAAAAAAGCUCAGUAGUUUGGACCCAACAGGCAUUGCCAGAGAUCCUGAACUGAUAAUCAGGACUUUUAGGCUGGUUGAAAAAAAUAACAACUUGUGGUUGGAACAUAAAGGAGGAGAAAAUGUUGUUUGUACAUUUUGAGUGAUGGAGUUGACAGAUGAAGACAAGGUUUGGAGCGGGAGUUGAACCAGCAACCCAAGGAUCACAGCCUAAAGUCCUGCGCUCUACCAACUGAGCUAUCGAAGGGUGCUGGGGUAACAAAGGCAGAAAACAUAGUGGCUGAGACAACACACUAUUCCAAAAGGACUAUUCAUCCCAAUAGUCAAUCAUAAGCCCAGCCCUUCCUGCAGAAAAAAGCUCAGUAGUUUGGACCCAACAGGCAUUGCCAGAGAUCCUGAACUGAUAAUCAGGACUUUUAGGCUGGUUGAAAAAAAUAACAACUUGUGGUUGGAACAUAAAGGAGGAGAAAAUGUUGUUUGUACAGUUUGAGUGAUGGAGUUGACAGAUGAAGACAAGGUUUGGAGCGGGAGUUGAACCAGCAACCCAAGGAUCACAGCCUACAGUCCUCCGCUCUACCAACUGAGCUAUCGAAGGGUGCUGGGGGAACAAAGGCAGAAAACAUAGUGGCUGAGACAACACACUAUGCCAAAAGGACUAUUCAUCCCAAUAGUCAAUCAUAAGCCCAGCCCUUCCUGCAGAAAAAAGCUCAGUAGUUUGGACCCAACAGGCAUUGCCAGAGAUCCUGAACUGAUAAUCAGGACUUUUAGGCUGGUUGAAAAAAAUAACAACUUGUGGUUGGAACAUAAAGGAGGAGAAAAUGUUGUUUGUACAGUUUGAGUGAUGGAGUUGACAGAUGAAGACACGGUUUGGAGCGGGAGUUGAACCAGCAACCCAAGGAUCACAGCCUAAAGUCCUGCACUCUACCAACUGAGCUAUCGAAGGGUGCUGGGGGAACAAAGCAAGAAAACAUAGUGGCUGAGACAACACACUAAUCCAAAAGGACUAUUCAUCCCAAUAGUCAAUCAUAAGCCCAGCCCUUCCUGCAGAAAAAAGCUCAGUAGUUUGGACCCAACAGGCAUUGCCAGAGAUCCUGAACUGAUAAUCAGGACUUUUAGGCUGGUUGAAAAAAAUAACAACUUGUGGUUGGAACAUAAAGGAGGAGAAAAUGUUGUUUGUACAGUCUGAGUGAUGGAGUUCACAGAUGAAGACAAGGUUUGGAGCGGGAGUUGAACCAGCAACCCAAGGAUCACAGCCUAAAGUCCUGCGCUCUACGAACUGAGCUAUCGAAAGGUGCUGGGGGAACAAAGGCAGAAAACAUAGUGGCUGAGACAACACACUAUUCCAAAAGGACUAUUCAUCCCAAUAGUCAAUCAUAAGCCCAGCCCUUCCUGCAGAAAAAAGCUCAGUAGUUUGGACCCAACAGGCAUUGCCAGAGAUCCUGAACUGAUAAUCAGGACUUUUAGGCUGGUUGAAAAAAAUAACAACUUGUGGUUGGAACAUAAAGGAGGAGAAAAUGUUGUUUGUACAGUUUGAGUGAUGGAGUUGACAGAUGAAGACAAGGUUUGGAGCGGGAGUUGAACCAGCAACCCAAGGAUCACAGCCUACAGUCCUACGCUCUACCAACUGAGCUAUGGAAGGGUGCUGGGGGAACAAAGGCAGAAAACAUAGUGGCUGAGACAACACACUAUUCCAAAAGGACUAUUCAUCCCAAUAGUCAAUCAUAAGCCCAGCCCUUCCUGCAGAAAAAAGCUCAGUAGUUUGGACCCAACAGGCAUUGCCAGAGAUCCUGAACUGAUAAUCAGGACUUUUAGGCUGGUUGAAAAAAAUAACAACUUGUGGUUGGAACAUAAAGGAGGAGAAAAUGUUGUUUGUACAUUUUGAGUGAUGGAGUUGACAGAUGAAGACAAGGUUUGGAGCGGGAGUUGAACCAGCAACCCAAGGAUCACAGCCUAAAGUGCUCCGCUCUACCAACUGAGCUAUCGAAGGGUGCUGGGUGAACAAAGGCAGAAAACAUAGUGGCUGAGACAACACACUAUUCCAAAAGGACUAUUCAUCCCAAUAGUCAAUCAUAAGCCCAGCCCUUCCUGCAGAAAAAAGCUCAGUAGUUUGGACCCAACAGGCAUUGCCAGAGAUCCUGAACUGAUAAUCAGGACUUUUAGGCUGGUUGAAAAAAAUAACAACUUGUGGUUGGAACAUAAAGGAGGAGAAAAUGUUGUUUGUACAUUUGAGUGAUGGAGUUGACAGAUGAAGACAAGGUUUGGAGCGGGAGUUGAACCAGCAACCCAAGGAUCACAGCCUAAAGUCCUGCGCUCUACCAACUGAGCUAUCGAAGGGUGCUGGGGGAACAAAGGCAGAAAACAUAGUGGCUGAGACAACACACUAUUCCAAAAGGACUAUUCAUCCCAAUAGUCAAUCAUAAGCCCAGCCCUUCCUGCAGAAAAAAGCUCAGUAGUUUGGACCCAACAGGCAUUGCCAGAGAUCCUGAACUGAUAAUCAGGACUUUUAGGCUGGUUGAAAAAAAUAACAACUUGUGGUUGGAACAUAAAGGAGGAGAAAAUGUUGUUUGUACAUUUGAGUGAUGGAGUUGACAGAUGAAGACAAGGUUUGGAGCGGGAGUUGAACCAGCAACCCAAGGAUCACAGCCUAAAGUCCUGCGCUCUACCAACUGAGCUAUCGAAGGGUGCUGGGGGAACAAAGGCAGAAAACAUAGUGGCUGAGACAACACACUAUUCCAAAAGGACUAUUCAUCCCAAUAGUCAAUCAUAAGCCCAGCCCUUCCUGCAGAAAAAAGCUCAGUAGUUUGGACCCAACAGGCAUUGCCAGAGAUCCUGAACUGAUAAUCAGGACUUUUAGGCUGGUUGAAAAAAAUAACAACUUGUGGUUGGAACAUAAAGGAGGAGAAAAUGUUGUUUGUACAGUUUGAGUGAUGGAGUUGACAGAUGAAGACAAGGUUUGGACCGGGAGUUGAACCAGCAACCGAAGGAUCACAGCCUAAAGUCCUGCGCUCUACCAACUUAGCUAUCGAAGGGUGCAGGGGGAACAAAGGCAGAAAACAUAGUGGCUGAGACAACACACUAUUCCAAAAGGACUAUUCAUCCCAAUAGUCAAUCAUAAGCCCAGCCCUUCCUGCAGAAAAAAGCUCAGUAGUUUGGACCCAACAGGCAUUGCCAGAGAUCCUGAACUGAUAAUCAGGACUUUUAGGCUGGUUGAAAAAAAUAACAACUUGUGGUUGGAACAUAAAGGAGGAGAAAAUGUUGUUUGUACAGUUUGAGUGAUGGAGUUGACAGAUGAAGACAAGGUUUGGAGGGGGAGUUGAACAAGCAACCCAAGGAUCACAGCGUAUAGUCCGCCACUCUACCAACUGAGCUAUCGAAGGGUGCUGGGGUGACAAAGGCAGAAAACAUAGUGGCUGAGACAACACACUAUUCCAAAAGGACUAUUCAUCCCAAUAGUCAAUCAUAAGCCCAGCCCUUCCUGCAGAAAAAAGCUCAGUAGUUUGGACCCAACAGGCAUUGCCAGAGAUCCUGAACUGAUAAUCAGGACUUUUAGGCUGGUUGAAAAAAAUAACAACUUGUGGUUGGAACAUAAAGGAGGAGAAAAUGUUGUUUGUACAGUUUGAGUGAUGGAGUUGACAGAUGAAGACAAGGUUUGGAGCAGGAGUUGAACCAGCAACCCAAGGAUCACGGCCUAAAGUCCUCCGCUCUACCAACUGAGCUAUCGAAGGGUGCUGGGGGAACAAAGGCAGAAAACAUAGUGGCUGAGACAACACACUAUUCCAAAAGGACUAUUCAUCCCAAUAGUCAAUCAUAAGCCCAGCCCUUCCUGCAGAAAAAAGCUCAGUAGUUUGGACCCAACAGGCAUUGCCAGAGAUCCUGAACUGAUAAUCAGGACUUUUAGGCUGGUUGAAAAAAAAUAACAACUUGUGGUUGGAACAUUAAGGAGGAGAAAAUGUUGUUUGUACAGUUUGAGUGAUGGAGUUGACAGAUGAAGACAAGGUUUGGAGCGGGAGUUGAACCAGCAACCCAAGGUUCACAGGCUAAAGUCCUCCGCUCUACCAACUGAGCUAUCGAAGGGUGCUGGGGGAAUAAAGGUAGAAAACAUAGUGGCU